rnacentral:rRNA from 1 species
CCUACGGUGCGCUGCAGUGGGGAAUAUUGGACAAUGGGCGAAAGCCUGAUCCAGCCAUGCCGCGUGUGUGAAGAAGGCCUUCGGGUUGUAAAGCACUUUCAGUGGGGAAGAAAGCCUUGGGGCUAAUACCCUCGAGGAAGGACAUCACCCACAGAAGAAGCACCGGCUAACUCCGUGCCAGCAGCCGCGGUAAUACGGAGGGUGCGAGCGUUAAUCGGAAUUACUGGGCGUAAAGCGCGCGUAGGCGGUCUGAUAAGCCGGUUGUGAAAGCCCCGGGCUCAACCUGGGAACGGCAUCCGGAACUGUCAGGCUAGAGUGCAGGAGAGGAAGGUAGAAUUCCCGGUGUAGCGGUGAAAUGCGUAGAGAUCGGGAGGAAUACCAGUGGCGAAGGCGGCCUUCUGGACUGACACUGACGCUGAGGUGCGAAAGCGUGGGUAGCAAACAGGAUUAGAUACCCUUGUAGUC